rnacentral:rRNA from 1 species
GACGAACGCUGGCGGCGUGCUUAACACAUGCAAGUCGAACGGAAAGGCCCUGCUUUUGUGGGGUGCUCGAGUGGCGAACGGGUGAGUAAAACGUGAGUAAACUGCCCUUGACUGUGGGAUAACUUCAGGAAACUGGGGCUAAUACCGGAUAGGAGCUCCUGCUGCAUGGUGGGGGUUGGAAAGUUUCGGCGGUGGGGGAUGGACUCGCGGCUUAUCAGCUUGAUGGUGGGGUAGUGGCGUACAACGGCUUUGACGGGUAGCCGGCCUGAGAGGGUGACCGGCCUCAUUGGGACUGAGAUACGGCCCAGACUCCUACGGGAGGCAGCAGUGGGGAAUAUUGCACAAUGGGCGGAAGCCUGAUGCAGCAACGCCGGGUGCGGGAUGACGGCCUUCGGGUUGUAAACCGAUUUCGCCUGUGACGAAGCGUGAGUGACGGUAAUGGGUAAAGAAGCACCGGCUAACUACGUG